UUUAGGCACAUCCCAGCUAUUCCCAGCUCUCUCUGGUUGCAAAGGUAACGUGGCUUUGAGCAGUCUUGACCCUGGACUUGCCUGGGGAAGUCCCUUCUUCCAACAGGGGGAUGAUUCUAGCUGGAGCCCAGCUGGGGCACGUGGAUUGGGACCAAGAGGACAAGUUUGAGAAUCAAGGGGCUCUGGGCAAAGGGAAACUGUCCCCAGAGGAAACAUUAGAGAAGAACUGAAGACUCAUCUAUGCCAAGGUUUCUCCUGGAAUGAACUUAUCCAAAUUAGCCAUUUUGGACCUUUGCCUAUUUUAAAAUUAGAAUGCUAUCUUUUUAUUUUUUAAUGGGAACAUUUUGUCUGCCAGGUACACUGCUGAUAUUUUUCUCAAUAUGAUAGUCAUCUUUUAACUUUGUUUAUAGAAUCUUUCACUGUGCCUAAGUUUUAAUAUGAAAUCAAUCCUGAAAGCACAGAUAAAAGAAAUGACUUUCUAUUAUGAAAGAUUGAAAAAAUGAUUAUCUUUUUUCUCCUGGGAUCUAUGCCUUUUGAAAUCCAACUUUGCUGCUUCUCCCAUCAAGAGAUAGCAACUAUUUCCUUGCUUGUGACCUGCAACUGGCCAAGGAACUGUGGCAGAAUUAACAAUGUGUAUCAUUGCUCUCUUUUGAAACCUUACCUCUGCCAUGUGAAAAACCUAGACUGGCUGGCUGAAGACAAGAGACAUGAGGCCCAGUUACCCUCGCUGAUACUACCGUCCAGCACAGGUGGAUAUGGAAGACAUGACAGGUGUUCACCUAAGAGAAAGGAAUACCUGCAUCCACUCAAAGACUUGUACGUGAGUAUUCACAGCAGCUCUGCUCGCAAUAUCCAAGCACUGGGGCACAACCCAAACGUCCAUCAGCAGGCUGGAAGAGCCCUUUGUGUGUGGUGUCAGUCACAGAGCUCCUUCAGACAAGAAGCUAGGGAGGCUGGAUUUCUCUGACUCCCUCACUUGCCGACCAUGGUCCUUUCGCCAGGAGCUUCUACAGAUACUGACCAACAAAGGACAGAUUCUUAGCCCUGACGAGCAGGGGCAAGCAGUCCCCGAGUCUCCAAAGGCUGCCAUCUCCAGACCACAGGUGGCUGAUUUGAACCUCAGAAGGCGUCUCCUCACCGUCGGGAGCUGCGAGUCCAAGAAGGAGCUAUGGCCGUGUUGCUGUCAUCCUGAGGCCUCUCUCCCCGGCUUGCAGAUGGCCGUUAUGCCUGGUGGCUUCACGUGGUCUUCCCUCUCGGGGGUCUGUGUUCUAAUCUCCCCUUCUUACAGGACACCAGUCACACUGGAUCAGGGCCCAACCCCAUGUUUUAACCAUGACCUCUUUAAAGAGCUUUCUCCAAAUACAGUCCCAUUCUGAGGUUCUGGGGUCAGGACGUCAACAUACGCCCUACCAGGCAUAAGAUUUCUGCAGUAGCCAAUACUGGAAAGCAUACGGGGUGCUGCCUCGACAUUGACCCCACCGGGGGUGGGGUGGGGUGUCAGAGAAGAGAAGAGCGAACGUGUCAUUCACCCACGGUACAGACAGCAAGCCAGGAGCACCUUCGAUGAACCGUGCGCUCAUGAGGACGUGGCGUCUCUCAGUGCUCGAUCCUGAGGGAAGAAAUGCUCCUUAGAUUCACGGUGGGAACGCAGCUCAUCCCCAGAGAUGAGGCCACCUCUUCCUGGGGACCCCCAUCCCUCCCCUCCCAGCUCCCGCUGUGUCCUGCCAGAGGUGCGGGCGGACCUCAGAGCAUCCUCACAGGGGCCAGCUCACCUGGCAGGUCUCCUCACACUGCGGCGACACUCUGCAUUUACUUGUCCUUUCCCUAGACCAGGUCUUUCCUCUUCUGUUUCCUCCGCACCUGGUCCAGUUCUUGUCACGUAGUAGAUGGUCACUAAAUGAGCAGGUCGCUGUGUUUCCAGUAUCCUUCUCAGCGAAGGCCAGCGGACUGCUCCAGGACGCAUGUGCUCACUGACAGAGGUCCGCGCCCAGCCACAGAAUCACGCGCGGAGCUGUUGGGAGAAUCGGGAACAUCGAAAUCCCACUAAGCGCCAUUACCUCAGCGUGUGUCACACAAGCACUCACGCAGGGACAAAAUGCCGAUGUGUCAAACGGUUUGUUUCCAUGAUCCUUACGUGAGGCAUAAGAAUGAACUCAAAGUGAUGGCGCAAACUCUGGCCAUAUUGCCUCAGUGUGAGACCCAUUUCUAUCAUUUUAUUUUUUUGCAGUUUUUUUCUUUUAAUUUUUUACAGACAGCAUUUUGAUUCAUUGUACACAAAUGGGGUACAUCAUUUCGUUUCUAUAGUU